rnacentral:rRNA from 1 species
UACGUAGGGGGCUAGCGUUAUCCGGAAUUACUGGGCGUAAAGGGUGCGUAGGUGGUUUCUUAAGUCAGAGGUGAAAGGCUACGGCUCAACCGUAGUAAGCCUUUGAAUCUGGGGAACUUGAGUGCAGGAGAGGAGAGUGGAAUUCCUAGUGUAGCGGUGAAAUGCGUAGAUAUUAGGAGGAACACCAGUUGCGAAGGCGGCUCUCUGGACUGUAACUGACACUGAGGCACGAAAGCGUGGGGAGCAAACAGG